UCUCUCUCUCCCUCACUCUCAAACACACGGCAACAACACCAAUUCUUCAAAACUUCACGGAUCGACGGAAAUAAAAUCACCAUCUUCUUCGUUUCGACGAUACGAGUCCAACCAUACCAAUUUCAGGACUUUUCAAGCUUAUAGGAAGCUUCUUGAGGUCCUAAGGAGGCUUGGAGUAGUUCGUUGGAAGUGUUUGGACGUAAGAACACGGAGAACGACAAGUUCAAAGUUUGGCCGGAGCUUUCGAGGCUUUUUCCGGCGAAUCCACGGCGAGUUAGGGGUCGAGGCAGAAAUUCCGGCAAAACACCCACCUCCGGCGAAACCAGUCCGGCGAUGCGAGGAAGAAGACG